rnacentral:rRNA from 1 species
CUAAUUGUGUUGUACGGCAGUGAGACUGUGGGGGAUAAGCUUCAUAGUCGAGAGGGAAACAGCCCAGAUCGCCGGUUAAGGCCCCUAAGGGUGUACUAAGUGGAAAAGGAUGUGGGAUCGCGAAGACAGCCAGGAGGUUGGCUUAGAAGCAGCCAUCCUUGAAAGAGUGCGUAAUAGCUCACUGGUCGAGUGGUUCUGCGCCGACAAUUCAGUGGGGCUCAAGUACACCGCCGAAGCCGCGGCAACUUUUUAAGUUGGGUAGGGGAGCGUCGUGCAUGGGUUGAAGCGUUACCGUAAGGAGGCGUGGACUGUGUGCGAGUGAGAAUGCAGGCAUGAGUAACGAAUUGAUAGGUGAGAAUCCUAUCCGCCGGAUGACUAAGGGUUCCUGGGUCAAGUUCGUCUUCCCAGGGUGAGUCGGGACCUAAGGCGAGGCCGACAGGCGUAGUCGAUGGAUAACCAGUUGAUAUUCUGGUACCCGUACAUGCGCGCCCAUGAUAAAGCACUGAUACUAACCACCGCGGAUGCACUGCUAGUCUUCUUUGAAGAUUGGUGGUGUUGAUGUCGUGGGGCCUGAUGUGUGGUUCAAGUGAUGGGGUGACGCAGUGAGGUAGCCACGCCACUUAUUGGAUUGGUGGUGUAAGCGUGUAGAUCGUGUGGUAGGCAAAUCCGCCACACAUUGUGGUUGAGACGUGAUGCGUAGACCCUAUGGGGUUGAUGGUGGUGAUCCUGUACUGUCGAGAAAAGCCUCUAGCGAUGUGUGUGUAUGGCCCGUACCCUAAACCGACACAGGUAGUCAGGUUGAAAAUACUAAGGCGUUCGGGUGAACUGUGGUUAAGGAAUUCGGCAAAAUGCCCCCGUAACUUCGGGAGAAGGGGGGCCCCACGGUGUGAGCAUCCUUGCGGUGUUAAGCGUUGUGGGGUCGCAGAGAAUAGAGGGAAGCGACUGUUUAUCAAAAACACAGGUCCAUGCGAAGACGUUAAGUUGAUGUAUAUGGACUGACGCCUGCCCGGUGCUGGAAGGUUAAGAGGACCGGUUAGUCAACUUUGUUGGCGAAGCUGAGAAUUUAAGCCCCAGUAAACGGCGGUGGUAACUAUAACCAUCCUAAGGUAGCGAAAUUCCUUGUCGGGUAAGUUCCGACCUGCACGAAUGGCGUAACGACUUCUCUGCUGUCUCAACCACAGGCCCGGUGAAAUUGCACUACGAGUAAAGAUGCUCGUUACGCGCGGCAGGACGAAAAGACCCCGGGACCUUCACUAUAGCUUGGUAUUGGUGUUUGGUUCGGUUUGUGUAGGAUAGGUGGGAGACUAUGAAGCCGUCACGCUAGUGGUGGUGGAGUCGUUGUUGAAAUACCACUCUGAUCGGAUUGAGCAUCUAACCUUGGCCCAUGAUCUGGGUUGGGGACAGUGCCUGGUGGGUAGUUUAACUGGGGCGGUUGCCUCCCAAAAUGUAACGGAGGCGCCCAAAGGUUCCCUCAGCCUGGUUGGCAAUCAGGUGGUGAGUGUAAGUGCACAAGGGAGCUUGACUGUGAGACAGACAUGUCGAGCAGGGACGAAAGUCGGGACUAGUGAUCCGGCACCUACUUGUGGAUGUGGUGUCGCUCAACGGAUAAAAGGUACCCCGGGGAUAACAGGCUGAUCUUCCCCAAGAGUCCAUAUCGACGGGAUGGUUUGGCACCUCGAUGUCGGCUCGUCGCAUCCUGGGGCUGGAGUAGGUCCCAAGGGUUGGGCUGUUCGCCCAUUAAAGCGGCACGCGAGCUGGGUUCAGAACGUCGUGAGACAGUUCGGUCUCUAUCCGCCGCGCGCGUUGAAACUUGAAGAAAGCUGUCCCUAGUACGAGAGGACCGGGACGGACGUACCUCUAGUGUGCCAGUUAUCCCGCCAGGGGUAUCGCUGGUUGGCUACGUACGGAAGGGAUAACCGCUGAAAGCAUCUAAGCGGGAAGCCUGUUUUAAGAUGAGGUUUCGUUAAGGUCCCCUAAAGACGAUAGGGUAGAUAGGCCAGACCUGGAAGCACUGUAAGGUGUGAAGGCUACUGGUACUAAUUGACCACAACAAACACCAA